rnacentral:rRNA from 1 species
AUUCCAGCUCCAAUGGCGUAUAUUAAAGUUGUUGCAGUUAAAAAGCUCGUAGUUGGAUUUCUGGCAGGAGCGACCGGUCGGCCCAUUGUGGUGUGUACUAGUGUUGCAUCUGGCCAUAUUUGUGGAGAGCGUGUGUGGCAUUAAUUUGUCGUGCUCGGGACCCGCAUCGUUUACUGUGAGAAAAUUAGAGUGUUCAAAGCAGGCUUAUGCCUUGGAUAUGUUAGCAUGGAAUAAUAAGAUAAGACUUUGGCGGUCUAUUUUGUUGGUUUGCACGCCAUUGUAAUGAUUGAUAGGGACAGUUGGGGGUAUUCAUAUUUAAUUGUCAGAGGUGAAAUUCUUGGAUUUAAGAAAGAUGAACUACUGCGAAAGCAUUUACCAAGGAUGUUUUCAUCA